rnacentral:rRNA from 1 species
AUGAAUUCCUUGUCGCGGAAUGCCGCCCUAGUCUCUCCUUGCUGCUUCCCCACCGGCAUCAGGAGGAACCUCCAGAGCAUUCCUGACACCAUCGAUGGUAUCCUGGAAGAGAUCAUCGACCACAGAGAGCAAAUCCUCAAGAGUGGCAGGUCAACCGCGUCUAAGAAGAACUUGGUGAAAGUUCUCCUCGGCCUCCAUCACCCGCUCAACUGUCAAAGCAGUUAUCUACUACUACUAUUGCUGCUGCUGCUAUUGCUACUACUGAUACUAUUGCUGCAGUACAAUUUUAGUAGUAAUACAAAAUUCCAUACGAUUUCUACGCCUCAGUAUUCAUUUAGAUUAUUUUAG